rnacentral:rRNA from 1 species
CCUACGGGUGGCAGCAGUCGAGAAUCAUUCACAAUGGGGGAAACCCUGAUGGUGCGACGCCGCGUGGGGGAAUGAAGGUCUUCGGAUUGUAAACCCUUGUCAUGUGGGAGCAAAUUAAAAAGAUAGAACCACAAGAGGAAGCGACGGCUAACUCUGUGGCAGCAGCAGCGGUAAUACAGAGGUCUCAAGCGUUGUUCGGAAUCACUGGGCGUAAAGCGUGCGUAGGCUGUUUCGUAAGUCGUGUGUGAAAGGCGCGGGCUCAACCCGCGGACGGCACAUGAUACUGCGAGACUAGAGUGAUGGAGGGGGAGCCGGAAUUCUCGGUGUAGCAGUAAAAUGCGUAGAUAUCGAGAGGAACACUCGUGGCGAAGGCGAGUUCCUGGACAUUAACUGACGCUGAGGCACGAAGGCCAGGGGAGCGAAAGGGAUUAGAUACCCCUGUAGUC